GACGAACGCUGGCGGCGUGCCUAAUACAUGCAAGUCGAGCGGACGAUUCGAAAGCUUGCUUUUGAAUCGUUAGCGGCGGACGGGUGAGUAACACGUGGGCAACCUGCCCUGUAGACGGGGAUAACACCGAGAAAUCGGUGCUAAUACCGGAUAACACGAAAUGUCGCAUGACGUUUCGUUGAAAGGCGGCGCAAGCUGCCGCUACAGGAUGGGCCCGCGGCGCAUUAGCUAGUUGGUGAGGUAACGGCUCACCAAGGCGACGAUGCGUAGCCGACCUGAGAGGGUGAUCGGCCACACUGGGACUGAGACACGGCCCAGACUCCUACGGGAGGCAGCAGUAGGGAAUCUUCCGCAAUGGACGAAAGUCUGACGGAGCAACGCCGCGUGAGCGAAGAAGGCCUUCGGGUCGUAAAGCUCUGUUGCUAGGGAAGAACAAGUAACGUAGUAACUGACGUUACUAUGACGGUACCUAACGAGAAAGCCACGGCUAACUACGUG
rnacentral:rRNA from 1 species